UACGUAGGGUGCAGGCGUUAAUCGGAAUUACUGGGCGUAAAGCGUGCGCAGGCGGUUUGCUAAGACAGGUGUGAAAUCCCCGGGCUUAACCUGGGAACUGCGCUUGUUACUGGCAAGCUGGAGUGUGGCAGAGGGGGGUGGAAUUCCACGUGUAGCAGUGAAAUGCGUAGAGAUCAUGAGGAAGACCAGUGGCGAAGGCGGGUCUCUGGACAGUUCCUGACACUGAGGCACGAAGGCCAGGGGAGCAAACGGG
rnacentral:rRNA from 1 species